UGGGGAAUUUUGGACAAUGGGCGAAAGCCUGAUCCAGCAAUGCCGCGUGUGUGAAGAAGGCCUUCGGGUUGUAAAGCACUUUUGUCCGGAAAGAAAUCCUUGGCUCUAAUACAGUCGGGGGAUGACGGUACCGGAAGAAUAAGCACCGGCUAACUACGUGCCAGCAGCCGCGGUAAUACGUAGGGUGCAAGCGUUAAUCGGAAUUACUGGGCGUAAAGCGUGCGCAGGCGGUUUGCUAAGACCGAUGUGAAAUCCCCGGGCUCAACCUGGGAACUGCAUUGGUGACUGGCAGGCUAGAGUAUGGCAGAGGGGGGUAGAAUUCCACGUGUAGCAGUGAAAUGCGUAGAGAUGUGGAGGAAUACCGAUGGCGAAGGCAGCCCCCUGGGCCAAUACUGACGCUCAUGCACGAAAGCGUGGGGAGCAAACAGGAUUAGAUACCCUGGUAGUCCACGCCCUAAACGACGUCAACUAGUUGUUGGGGAUUCAUUUCCUAGUAACGUAGCUAACGCGUGAAGUUGACCGCCUGGGGAGUACGGUCGCAAGAUUAAAACUCAAAUGAAUUGACGGGGUCAUAGCUG
rnacentral:rRNA from 1 species